rnacentral:tRNA from 2 species
GCCGGAAUAGCUCAGUUGGUAGAGCAGGGGACUGAAAAUCCUCGG